rfam:Oryza glumipatula chromosome 6, whole genome shotgun sequence.
UUCCAAAACAACCAUAAGUUUCCGCGCCCAACUUUAAUCGUCUGUCUUAUUUAAAAUUUUUUUGUAAUUAGUAUUUUUGUUAUUAUAAGAUGAUAAAACAUGAAUAAUAUUUUACUCGUAACUUAUGUUUUUAAUUUUUUUCAAAAAAAAUUCAAAUAAGACGGACGGUGAAAGUUGGACACGGAAAACCAUGGCUGCACUUAAA